GACUCAUGGACAAGAAUGGGGUGGUUGCAGGGGAGAGGAGAAAUAAGGAAGAUAAAUGGAAAUGGAAAAAAUAAAAAAUACUUCUGUUUUUUGAGGGCAGCCUGUUCAGUUUGGCUGUCUUUUUUUUUUUUUUUUUCUUUUCACCAUAGAUACAUUUGGUUCUCCCUAUAGCCAUGGAUUCAGGAGUGUUCCUUCUGUUAUGUGUUCUUUACCUUCAGCAGUCGUUUUAAUUCUGAAACUGCUCUAGAAGGAGACUUCAGUUUUGUGUGGUAGAUUUUUCAGAAUCCUGCUUUCUCCUUAAAGGACACUAUAUGAUGGGGUCAUUUGCCUCUUUGAAGUAGUAGAGAUCAUUGUGAACUUCUGGGAAUAUCCUUGGUUUUCAGGACAACUGGCGCUGGGUUCUGGCUGUCCCUUCUCUCAGGUCCCUGCUCAAGGAGCUUCUAAUCCUAGACGCCAGAGGGCUCUGACGUCCAGCUUCUUACUUACAGUCACUGCUUUCAAGUUUGCACUUCAGACUUACUUUUUCCAACCACUGAACCUCUAUUCCAAGUUGAAAAUAAAUUUAAGAAAAUUAUAGUACUUUAAAAAUGCACUUAUACCUCAGUGGAAUGGUGAAGAGGAGAGACUUUUCUGUUGAAUUAUGAUGAAGGACCCAGCUUUAAGAAAUGCUACUGGUAAUCAGGAGUUUGUACAUAAAGCAUAACAUAACAGUGAAAUUAUGUCAGAAAGAUAAAUUGGAUUCUGGAAGCAAGAUAGUAAAAUAUAGACUGUAAUUUAAGUUGACCAGCUGGAUUUCAAAAAGCUAGUUCUGCAGCUCUUUUUAAUCUUGCUGAGAAGUGACAGUGUUCAUCCACAGCAGCCGCUGGCUCCAGGCCCCAGGCUCGGAGGUGAUUGUCCUAAUCUGUUUCUGCCCCAGUAACAGGCCCUUUAGUCCUACUGGAACAGCAAUGGAUUCCUUAAUAAAAACACCAAUGCAUCCAAGUUCCCGACUUAUGGAAUAGAAAAUGUUCUGUUCUUUGAACUUUCAUUGAUAAUACCGAGAUGUAGUAUACACAAGAAAACACAAUUCUGUGGAUUGCUGGGCACAGGAACCACAGGAGCUUUAAAGAUGGCAGAUACCCCCAUUGUUUCCCAGUGAACCAAAUCUUAGUGAGAAAUCCAUGCUCCAUGAAGGUGGGCUGUAUUCAUCCCAUGACUUCAGCAUCCUUGCCCAUCAUGGAGGGCUGGGGUUGAAGUGAACUCCUCUAGAGGUGGGCAAGAUGAGGCUUCUUGAAAUUCUUUGAAACCUAGUGUUAUGAAAAAGUAAUGUUUCAGGGCACCAUUGUGGUCAGUGCAAGGAGUGUUAAAGUGGCCUUUUAUUAUUUAAACAUUUGUUUGAAUUUCUACAUAUGUUUGUGCAUGGAGUGGUGACUUGCAAUAGGUUGUAAAUGAGGUUGUAAAUGAGAUCAUUUCAGUUCUGUUGUGACUGGCAUGAGUGUGCCAGACAGGCUUAGGUAAAUGUUUUUUUUUCUUAUUGUGGUGGGUAUGUCAUUUACAGAAACAGGAGGAAACCUUGGGCAGGGGUUUGGGCCCAGGGUGGUCCACAUGUCUACAUGGGCACCUUUCUCCCUUGGGCCCUAUCAGCCAAAACAUGCAUCUGGCAUCUGCUAUCUGAAUAAAUGUGUAUCACAUAUAUGUGCUUUUAUUUUUCAAAUGUGGACAGAUGAUAUAUGAUUUUAAAAAUGCAGAAGUCCAAAGCCGCUGAGCAUUUGCAGUGCUUUUAAGUAUCUUUGCAUUUUAUUCAUCUUCAGGUGCUAAAAUCAAAAUGACUGUCACGUGAAGGUUGACUUUUUAGUGUUAAAAGUGAUGUUGUUUCCUUUGGACUGAAGUUCAUAGAUGUUCUUUUAUGUAAAUAAGUACCUAUGUCUUCACCAAAGGUCUGCAUAGGUACUUAUUUACAUAUAGAAGUACAUUAUGUUUCUCAGAAAAAAAUUAGUACACUACUCUGAUCUUAGUGGUUUUACAUUCAUCCUCUUUGGGGACACCUAGUGGUUAUACUAUAAAGUGCAGCUGUUCUGUCUAGACACCGUCUGUUGCCCAGAACUGCUCGCUAAUUCAAACUCCACCUGAAUGUCAGAGAGGGGUGCUCUUCCCCUGCUUAUUCCAGCUGGUGAGUUUCUUAGAUGCCCACACUUGUGGUAGAUGGGUAUUGGAACCUUAGACCCAAGGUGUCUGUGAUUCUGAAUGCAGGCCAAGAUGGUUUCCCUAAAGUGUAGUAUGGAAAAAAUGCUGCAUGAUUGGAACACUGGAAUAGGAA